UAUCUAUCUAUUUUUCCUGAUUAGUCACCUGGAUCUACCGAUAGACCAGUAGGUCAAUUCGAGUAGAAGUAAUUGAAAAUUCUUAAACUCCAAGCUAAACCCACAAGAGCCUAUGAAUGGAGGAAGAUCAAAAGAACACUGAUAAAUAAACCCGAGCUAAAAUAAAGAAACCCAUAAAGUUAAAUCUGACUAAAAAAGACCAAAUUAAUUACUACAUGCGAAAAAACACAACAAAAAUUUGAAUCUGAACAGAUUUUCG
rnacentral:misc_RNA from 1 species